GCCUGAUGCAGCCAUGCCGCGUGCAGGAUGACGGUCUUAUGGAUUGUAAACUGCUUUUAUACGAGAAAAAACACUCCUUCGUGAACGAUCUUGACGGUAUCGUACGAAUAAGGAUCGGCUAACUCCGUGCCACCUACCGCGGUAAUACUGACGAUCCUUGCGUUAUCCGGAAUCAUUGGGUUUAAAGGGUCCGUAUGCGGUUUAAUACGUCAGUGGUGAAAGCCCAUCGGUCAACGGUGGAACGGCACUUGAUACUGCUGAGCUUGAAUUAUUAUGAAGUAACUAGAAUUGUUGCGUAGCGGUGAAAUGCUUAAAGAUUACAUGGAAUACCAAUUGCGAAGGCAGGUUACUACUAAUGGAUUGACGCUGAUGGACGAAAGCGUGGGUAUCGAAUGGGAUUACAUACCCUGGUCGUCCACGCCGUAGACUAUGGAUACUACCUGGUGAAACCAGUUUCAGUGGCUAAACGAAAGUGAUCACUAUCCCACCUGGGGAGUACGUUCGCAAGAAUGAAACUCUGAGGAAUUGACGGGGGCCCGCACAAGCGGGGGAACAUGUGGUUUAAUUCGAUGAUACGCGUGGAACCUUACCAAGGCUUAAAUGUAUAUUGACCGAUUUGGAAACCCAUGUGUCGCAAGA
rnacentral:rRNA from 1 species